rnacentral:rRNA from 1 species
CCUACGGGAGGCAGCAGUGGGGAAUAUUGGACAAUGGGCGAAAGCCUGAUCCAGCAAUGCCGCGUGAGUGAUGAAGGCCUUAGGGUUGUAAAGCUCUUUUACCAGGGAUGAUAAUGACAGUACCUGGAGAAUAAGCUCCGGCUAACUCCGUGCCAGCAGCCGCGGUAAUACGGAGGGAGCUAGCGUUGUUCGGAAUUACUGGGCGUAAAGCGUGCGUAGGCGGCUAUUCAAGUCAGAGGUGAAAGCCCGGGGCUCAACCCCGGAACGGCCUUUGAAACUAGGUAGCUAGAAUCUUGGAGAGGUUAGUGGAAUUCCGAGUGUAGAGGUGAAAUUCGUAGAUAUUCGGAAGAACACCAGUGGCGAAGGCGACUAACUGGACAAGUAUUGACGCUGAGGUACGAAAGCGUGGGGAGCAAACAGGAUUAGAUACCCUGGUAGUCCACGCCGUAAACGAUGAUAACUAGCUGUCCGGGCACUUGGUGCUUGGGUGGCGCAGCUACGCAUUAAGUUAUCCGUCCGUCGGGUAGGUACGGUCGCGAGAAUUAAACUACAAAUAGAAGUUAGUACGGCGUGAGACGUGCCGAACGGACGACGACGAGGGAGUAGG